rnacentral:rRNA from 1 species
GCUAAUCUGCGAUAAGCGCCGGUAAGGUGAUAUGAACCGUUAUAACCGGCGAUACCCGAAUGGGGAAACCCAGUGUGAUUCGUCACACUAUCAUUAACUGAAUCCAUAGGUUAAUGAGGCGAACCGGGGGAACUGAAACAUCUAAGUACCCCGAGGAAAAGAAAUCAACCGAGAUUCCCCCAGUAGCGGCGAGCGAACGGGGAGGAGCCCAGAGCCUGAAUCAGCAUGUGUGUUAGUGGAAGCGUCUGGAAAGGCGCGCGAUACAGGGUGACAGCCCCGUACACAAAAGCGCAUGUGCUGUGAGCUCGAUGAGUAGGGCGGGACACGUGGUAUCCUGUCUGAAUAUGGGGGGACCAUCCUCCAAGGCUAAAUACUCCUGACUGACCGAUAGUGAACCAGUACCGUGAGGGAAAGGCGAAAAGAACCCCGGCGAGGGGAGUGAAAAAGAACCUGAAACCGUGUACGUACAAGCAGUGGGAGCACAGGUUUACCUGUGUGACUGCGUACCUUUUGUAUAAUGGGUCAGCGACUUAUAUUCUGUAGCAAGGUUAACCGAAUAGGGGAGCCGGAGGGAAACCGAGUCUUAAUUGGGCGUUAAGUCGCUGG